CCCGCCGAAGGUUUUCUCCGGUUCGGGAGAGAGACGGAGUCCCGCUCUGUCACGCAGGCUGCCAGGCUGGCGUACAGUGGCGCAAUCUCAGCUCGCUGCAACCUCCACCUCCUGGGUUCAAGCGAUUUUCUUGCCUCUGCCUCCUGAGUAGCUGGGAUUACUGGCACACACCACCAUGCACAGUUCCUUGUUCAAAAUGCCAAGAACCUGGAUGACUCAUAGUCAAGACCCUCCACCAGUAACAUAUAUUGGCGAGCCAGCCAGGAGACCACUACAGGAAACACUCCAUUUAUUCCACCUGACUUCCCACUUGGCUGCAUCCUCAACCAUUGAAAUGAAUUUGACCCUGAUAAUCUAAGGAGGAAACAUUUGAUAUUCUUUUGCAAUAAUACUUGGCCCCAGUAUUGUUUGGAAUCUGGAGUUUGCUGUUGAAUGGGAAAGCAGGAUGACGUUGCAUGUAUCCAGGCUUUGGUGCUGCUGUCCUAAGAAGGGUCAGGCCUAGUCAGCAUAUGGUGCUCUCCUUUGGUGCUAUUUGGCUCCAGUGUCUUUGGAGUCUGAGGAGGUUUGGCCUUUAAAAAUCAAACUGCCACCGGAACUGCUUUAAAAAUGUUUGGUUCACAGCCUUCACUGGAUUACCUAUUGGAGCAAACAAAGUGUAACCAUGUAAAACCUGUGAGCUUGUAUUGAUAUCUCAUGGCUAGAGUUCCAAGCGAAUGGGUCUCAUGAGAUCUGAUGGUUUUGAAAAUGGGAGUUGCCCUGCACAAGCUCUCCUUUUGCCUGCUGCCAUCCACAUAAGAUGUGAUUUGCUCUUCCUUGCCUUCCACCAUGAUUGUGAGGCCUUCCCAGCAUGUGGAAAUGGUCCAGCCUGCAAUAACUGAAGCCCCCAGACCUGGAACCUGAAGAUCCCAUCAGCCACUAAACCUGUGAACCUGUAGAAGACCUGAAGUACCUGUUUAAAAGGCAGCCAAAAGAUAAGUAAAUUCCUAUCAACUUUCCUUGGUGUCCUUCUUGUAUAUUUACUGUAAGCUGGAUAUAAUAGUAGCCAUUUUUAUAUUUUUACAAUUUAAUUGCUUUCUUCCAAAUGGAUUGAAUCACUUCUUUUAAAGUGUUUUAAUUAAUUUUUAUCUAUAGAACAAAAUAACAAAUAAGUAUUUUUUUUUUAUACCAUAAUGGUCACCCACAGCCUGUGUAUACUAAGACCAUGCAUACUGAUAAUCAGCUUUAUUUUACAAAAGAGUUUCGCUUUACCCCUCUGGUAAUUAAUGGAUUCUGGGUAUUUAUUAAAAACUUUAACACAAAGACUGUUAAAUACCACCAGUCCAGCUUUGGCAAGGCACUGUUGGCUUUGUUUAUCUCCAUCAUCAUCCAAACAGACUACCAAUCCUGAUCCCAGCCCAAUCUUGGGCCCUUGAAAAAAUAACUUAACAUCCUAACUACAAGGGAGAAACUCCUUUCAAAUUAAUGAACCUGGCUGACUUAUAUAGCCUUAAAAUUAUGGAAAUGACAAGGGUUACAAUGUCAGAAUGAGCAGUAAACCUUCCCCAGUCCUAUCAGAGCAAACUUUCUGGGGUUGCAUCCCCUCAGAAACCCAUUUGGGGCCCAAUCUCAAUGCACAUAUCAGUGCGCAAAGCACUAAAAUUCCAGGCAACACUUUGUAUUGAGAGAAGCCAAAAUUUUGGUCCCGCCCUGGGACAUCUAAAGUCACCAAUGUAACUACACCAUACAGAUUAAACCCUCACAUGAUCAUGUAAGCUAUGCAGUUACCCAAGCUGCAUCAUUUAGAAAACCUGUACAGUUUUUAUGGAAACCAUCCCUAGUCAAGGACACUUUAAAUAUAUAGUCUAAAUACCGUUAAGGUAGGCCCACUAGCUGUGUUCACAUUUUCCCUUGGCCACCUUACCAGGGACUUUAAUAACUUGGGAAAGUGAAAACAACAAGCUAACCCACAUGUUCACCAUAGAAAACAAUUUUGUCUUGAAAAACAAGGACUCUUUUUCCCGUGUGGGACCAGUUCCUACUUAUGUUUUACCAGCCAAUUGGACUGGAACCUAUACAGUUGUUUAUUUAGCCCCCGAAAUUAAUAUAGCUCCCAACAACCAAUCCUUCAUUAUACUUUUAACUGCAACCACCAGACACAAAUGAGCCAUCCAACUGAUACCACUUUCGGUAGAGCUAGGAAUAACAGCAGGAGUAGGAAUGAGAGUUAGCAGCCUUGCAGUUUCCCUAUCCUAUUACCAAUGCUUGUCCAAGGAUUUUAUGGAAAGCUUAGGUGACAUUGCCCAAAAGUAUCAUCACCUUACAAAAUCAGAUAGAGUCUUUGGCAGUGGUGGCUUUGUAAAAUAGAAGGGGACUGGAUCUCCUAAAUGCUGAAGAAGGUGGCUUAUGUCUUUUUCCUAGAGGAAGAAUGCUGUUUUUAUGUCAACCAAACAGGAUUAGUAAGGGAUGCCACCCAAAAACUAGCCGAUUGGUACCAUAAGAUAUGACAACAGCUGUCUGAGUCAUGGGGCGCCUAGUCAAAAUGCUAAUUUGGGGCUCACAUCUCCUUCCUCUGGCCAGUCCACUAUUAAUUAUUAUACUUGCCUUGGCUUUUGGAUCAUGUUUGUUAAAUCUUUUAACCAGAUUUAUUUCUUCUUGCCUAGAGACCAUUAUGAUAAUGCAGCAGGGCCACCAGUCAGUUUCAGAUAAUGAUGUCAACCCCGGCCACCAAGAAGUAACCUUGUCUCCACUAGACAGAGCAGGGUGAGAGUUCUGUAAUCCCCAGUAGGUAGGGACUGUGCCCCAAGUCAGCAUGAAGUAGUUAUGGAAGAAAGACCAUGGGUCCCUCUGCCUCCCAGAAAGAUUUAUGGGGAUCACAUCUCUCAGGGGAAAAUGAGGCAGGAGAAUAGGGUCUGGAGACAGGGAACCUAAAGCUGAUUUGUGCUGAGUUUCUAGGAUUGAAUGAAAAGGAAAACCCCACCUCUCCACACCCAAGUAACAAAAGGAUCAGAGGCUACUCCCUUUGCACUGCAUUGCAGAUAAAAAAUGGAAAGUACCUCAGAUUGGUCCCCUCCCACAACCAAUCAGACUGGCCAUGGGCUACUCCUUCGUUUACAUAGGGUGUAACCAAGUAACCAAUGGGAAACCUCUAGCGGGUAUGUAAACCCCAGAAAAUUCUGUAACCAGUGCUCUUGAGCUGCUUGCUGGAGCCUACUCCCACUUUGUGAAGUGUACUUUCAUUUCAAUAAAUUUGUGCUUUCAUUGCUUCAUUCCUUCGUUGCUUUGUGUGUUUUGUCCAAUUCUUUGUUCAAAACACCAAGAACCUGGAUGACUCAUAGUCAAGAUCCUCUACCAGUAACACUUGAACUUUCUGGUUUGUCCUGAACAUCCCUCUUUCUUAAACAACCAGUCGUUUUAUUCUAGGCCAAAAUUUUACCAUACAAGAAUAUUUCUCAUAUACAAUUAUCUUCCUUCUAACUUUUCUUGCCAGAAAUACCUUUUAUAACUUUCUUUACAUUGCUUUUAUUUAACGAUUACUUUUACCUUGUUUCAUAAGUUUUAAAUAGCCUUGAAUUAGAUAAAAAAUUAUUUUCCUUUAAAUAAGAACACAUUUCUUUUUUUAGAAAAAUAUUUUUCUGUAAUUUUUUUUUUUUCUUGAGACAGAGUCUUGCUCUGUCACCCAGGCUGGAGUGCAGUGGCACAAUCUUGGCUCACUGCAAGUUCUGCCUCCCGGGUUCACGCCAUCCUCCUGCCUCAGCCUCCAGGGUAGCUGGGACUAGAGGUGCACACCACCACGCCUGGCUAAUUUUUUGUAUUUUUAGUAGAGACGGGGUUUCACUGUGUUAGCCAGGAUGAUCUCGAUCUCCUGACUAUGAUCUGUCUGCCUCAGCCUCCCAAAGUGCUGGGAUUACAGGUGUGAGCCACUGCACCUGGCCUAAUAUUUUAAAUUGGAAAUGACCCAGAUGUUUAAUGAGUACCUAUUAUUUAACUUAAUAUAAUUUUAGAUUCUAAAUUAUAUAACAAGUUUAAUCACAAGCAUUUAUUCCAUUACAUUUACCUAAUUAAUUUUUUUAAUAGUUUACUCAGAUUACUUUUGAAAACUGAGAGUUAUCAUUGAAAGUUAUUUCCCAGUUAAUCAUUUUUAUAGACUGCGAAUUUCAGGUUUUCCUAAGUAAGAAACUUAAGGUUAGAUAAAUGGUUUCUUUUUUUUUUUUUUUGCCAAUAACUUAGGAUUUAGCUGUUUUCAUUAACUAAACAAUAUUAAAUGCCUUAUUUAUGAAAUUUUACAUAGAGAUAAUUUUCCUUUGGGCUGCAUUCAUUGUUUUAUAACCCUCAUGCCAAAUUUUGGCAUCUAGCAGAGAUAAAUAUGAAACCACUGUUCCAAUAAAUUUAAACAAUAGUGUAUGUUGACAAUUCUGAAGCCAUUCUAAUUCUAAUUUUAUUUCAUGACUACUUUCAAAACCAGCUUAUUUAUUAAAGAUAUACUUAAGUCACAUGAACUUGAAAAGACAUUUGGCUUAAAAUCUCUAUUUUCUCUGAUACAGUAUUUGAUUUAAAGCCCCUUUUUUUCUUUAAGCCAAUUAAUUAGAGCACUUUUACAUGUUUCUAGUAGUGAAACAUCAUAUACAUGACACAUAAAUACAUAGAUGUAUUAUACAUGCAGAUAGAAGUAGAGCUUAUCAUUUCACAAGACCUCUUUUUUUCCUCCAGUUCUAGACUUCUAAUUUCUUGAUCUUAUUACCCUAGGCAGUUGUCAGCUAAGAUAACCCUAAAUUUGCAUAUUAAAGGAACUCUUAGAUGAAAAAAAUCAGAUAGUGAAAUUUACAUCUCAAGGUACAGAGAGAAAGAGUCUGGUGCUAGUGUUUCCAGAAUUUAUUCCUUCUGGUGGGUUCUUGGUCUCUCUGACUUCAAGAAAGAAGCCUCGGACCUUGCAGUGAGUGUUACAGCUCUUAAAGGUGGCGUGUCCAGGGUUGUUUGUUCCUUCUGGUGGGUUUGUGGUCUCACUUCAGGAAUGAAGCUGCAGACCCUCAUGGUGAGUGUUACAGCAAUUAAAGGUAGUGUGGACCCAAAGAGUGAGCAGCAGCAAGAUUUAUUAUGAAGAGCGAAAGAACAAAGCUUCCACAGCAUGGAAAGGGACCUGAGCGGGUUGAUGCUGCUGGCUGUGGUGACCAGCUUUUAUUCCCUUAUUCGUCCCCACCCACGUCCUGGUGAUUGGUCCAUUUUACAGAGCACUGAUUGGUCCAUUUCACAGAGUGCUGAUUGGUGCAUUUUACAGAGUGCUGAUUGGCGCAUUUACAAUCCUUUAGCUAGACACAGAGUGCUGAUUGGUGCAUUUUUACAGAGUGCUGAUUGGUGCAUUUACAAUCCUUUAGCCACAGAGUGCUGAUUGGUGCAUUUACAAUCCUUUAGCUAGACACAGAGCACUGAUUGGUGUGUUUAUAAUCCUCUAGCUAGACAGAAAAGUUCCCCAAGUCCCCACUCGACCCAGGAAGUCCAGCUGGUUUCACCUCUCACUAGUAGGAGGAGAUUAAAAACGAAUGCCAAAUCAAACAUAAAAUUAUAGAAAUCUAUCAUAGGAUUAUAUUAGAAGACUGACUUUAUUUAUAUAAGUAGUUCUAAAUUUAGUCUGCCUUUUAACUGGAUCUCUGAGCUCUGGGCAGAGCCCACACUGAAUUCCGGGUCUCCAAAAAGAGAAUUAUUAUGAGGCUAAGACCAUGUGAUGGUUUUAUGAGUGCACUCUCCUUUUUUUUUUUUUUUUAACAAAAAUGUUUCUCUAAGUGUCUGAACUACUCUCUUCCUAACUUUAAACACCCAACAGUAACCUCUGUUGUUACUCUUUGACUAAAAUAAUUAUUUUAGUUAAAAAAAAAAAAAAAAGAAGAAAGAAAGAAACCAGGUAACACUAUACAAAAGGAAGCAGUGUAAGAUCUGAGACGAAAUUUUCUCUUUUACACUCUUUGAGUUCCAUAAGGAGAAACAGAGGUUGCUCCCCAAAAGGGAGUCUAGUGCCUUCUCUGUUUUCUUUAAGGAAUCCCAGGGUGUUAGAAACUAUUUUAGAUUCCUCAUGCAGCACAGGGUAGCAAGAGAAAGAAGAGGCAGCAGAAGUAAAAUGAAGAAAACAGAAUUUGGUUGACGGAGAAGAAAAAAACUUUUGCUCAAAAAGUUGAAGGAGAGAAAUAAAAAAGGCCUUAACUACACACACACACACACACACACACACACACCUUGGAUGUUAGCUUUUAUUUAAGCUUUUAGCCACUAAGCUCCUUAAAAAAAAUACCUUCAAAUCUCAUUACUGUAUUUUAGCUAGUACAAACUGCUGAUAUUUCAAAAGUAAUGCAAAUACCAAACCAGAAAGGGCUUGAUUUAGGAACCAAACUUAGGCAGUCAUGAUGAAAAUAAGGACAGAAUCUUAGUUUCCAAACUGCAGUGCUGGGGGACAACCAUUGCUCUUUCAGUUUGGCCUGGUUAGCAAAAGAUGGCCUUGUUAUGUAAAUAAAGCCCCUAAGGUAGUCAAAAUCAAAAAAAAUUUUUUUUUCCUUUUGCUAGCUGUUUUUUUCUUUUUUCUUUUUCAGUUGCAGGAAUUUAGCCAAUUCAGAGGUCUUGUUCUCCAUAAUUUGGAAUUUUCCUUCGGAUUUGAUCAAGUUGGAUAGAGUUGGUCAAACCCAAUGGGAAAAAGAUGAAAACAACAAGAAACAGAAACAAACAGCAACAACAACAACAACAAAAACA
rnacentral:lncRNA from 1 species